GAUGACCGUGUGGGAAUACAGGGACCAGUGAAUAUGUUACCUUACAUGGCAAAAGGGGUUUUGCAGAUGUGAUUAAGGAUUUUGAGGUGAGAUUAUCCUGGGUUACCUGCGUGGUCCAUCACAGGGGUCCUUAUAAGAGGCAGGAGGACCAGCAUCGGAAAAGGAGAUGUGGUUAACAGAAGCAGGAAUUAGAGGUGUGCUCUAAAGAUGGAAGGAGGGGCUGCCAGCCAAAAAAUGCAGGCAGACUCUAAAAAACGGCAAAGACAAGGAACACAGCCCAGUUGACACCUUGAUUUCUAACCAGGUCCCUGUGGGAGAACUCCAAUUGAGCUCAUAUGUGCUCAAGGACUCCCUGUGGCAUUUCCUGAGGCUUUGGGGAGUCUACAUCACAGUUCUCUCUCCAAUCCUGCAUCCUCACAUCUAACAGAAAAGUGGUCCCUGGGGCACCUGGCUGGCUCAGGUACUUAAGUGGUUGUCUUCGGCUCAGAUACUUUUGACUGCUUAUCUGGGCUAUAUUCUUCGAGUGAGCACAUAACCACCAAAUGCUUCUUUAAAAUUAAUUAAUCUAUAAAGUCUCCCAAGAGAAGGAAAAGAGAAGAAAAGAAACAGAAAAAA